rnacentral:rRNA from 1 species
GACGUAGGGGGCGAGCGUUGUCCGGAUUUAUUGGGCGUAAAGAGCGCGUAGGUGGUUUGUCACGUUGUUCGUGAAAACUCACAGCUUAACUGUGGGCGUGCGGGCGAUACGGGCAGACUAGAGUACUGCAGGGGAGACUGGAAUUCCUGGUGUAGCGGUGGAAUGCGCAGAUAUCAGGAGGAACACCAGUGGCGAAGGCGGAACUCUGGGCCGGAACUGACGCUGAGGAGCGAAAGCGUGGGGAGCGAACAGG